rnacentral:tRNA from 1 species
AGACAACAAAAUGUUUAAUAUUAUUAUUUUGUCACCUUAGGUCGAUCGGUAUCUCACGUUCUUAAUUUAUUAAGAAUUUCAUUUCCUAAGUUUUUCUAGGUCACACCCAUUAUUUUUCCUGGGCCAUUAGCUCAGGUGGUUAGAGCGCACCCCUGAUAAGGGUGAGGUCCCUGGUUCAAGUCCAGGAUGGCCCAUAUCUCUAUGUUGGGGGUAUAGCUCAGUUGGUAGAGCGCCUGCUUUGCAAGCAGGAUGUCAGCGGUUCGAGUCCGCUUACCUCCACUGAUUACCACCUCUUCCAUAAUCUGUAGAAAGGAAAUGUUUUGAGUCGUGAUCAAUUUCUGAACGAAUCUAGCUUCCUAAUGAAACUAUUAAAAUUAAGAUGCUGGUCUCAUAGAAUUAAAUUCAUUGUUUUCAGAGAACCUUGACAACUGCAUAGAUUAAUUUUAAAGACAAUAAGCAUCUCUAAUGAUGCAGAUUUAUUAUUUGUGCGAAUGCAUUAAUAACAAUUCUAUUAAGCUGGUGCUUCAAUUUUGAAGUUAUU